GAAGAAGAGAGCUAGUUCAAGAUGAGCAUUUAUGAGUAAAAUGUAUAAAAUUAUAAUUUGUUUUUUAAGCUGCAGUGAAACUGUAAUUUUUACCUUCAACCGUUUGGAGGCCAUUGAAGUCCACUAUAUGGAGAAAAAUCCUGGAAUGUUUUCAUCAAAAACCUUAAUUUCUUUUCGACUGAAGAAAGAAAGACAUGAACAUCUUGGAUGACAUGGAGGACAUGAAAAUGACCCGGAGACAUUCAAAAGACAACUAGAAGGAGUCUAUCCAAAACUCAUGGAAACAGGUGGAUUUGAAUUGCUACGGAUUAGUGGUACAACAAAAAGCCGGAUCUUGUGUGGAAUCCCAAUUCCAGAGGAAGGAUACACAGUGUGACAUCUUAGGAAUACACAGACUGGAAUAGGACAAGCAACAAUUUACGUCAGGCCUUUGCAGAAGAGUAUUCUUAUAGAGGCUAAUCUUUGUUCUCCACAAAGCAAUGGACCAAUGACAAGGUGUCUCAGCUGUGAGCAAGAAAUACCUUUCACUCAUAUGAAAGUCCAUGUGCAGAAUUGCUCUGGGUAUGGUUAUGGCACCAUGAUAGGUUUUAUUUUACUAAUAAAUUUUUUUUUUUUUUUUUUUAGAACUGCACAUUUCUGGAUAAAUUGAGAAUCAAUCAAUUGAGAAUUUGUUUAAAGAUCAUGAUUCUCCCAUUAUUCUGACUGGACAAAAUAAAUGUAAUUUACUUUAUGACAAAAUUUUGAUUGCUGCAGUCUAAUCAAUAAUAUUUAAUUUGAAUAAAAAAACAGUUUGAAUGAAUUAUUCAGUGACUUACUCAAAGUCAUUACUGAAUGACAAACAUUUUUUAACAGUCAUUUGUCACCACCUAUGACAACAAUGUAACUGAUACAAUCUUUUUUUGAAACGUCAAGUUACUUUCAAAUGGCAAUGUCCUCUAUUUUGAUCAGUACU